UCUUAAGAGUGAUGCUUUCUUAAAGG
rnacentral:piRNA from 1 species